rnacentral:rRNA from 1 species
AUUGAACGCUGGCGGCAGGCCUAACACAUGCAAGUCGAACGAGUGGCGGACGGGUGAGUAAUGUCUGGGAAACUGCCUGAUGGAGGGGGAUAACUACUGGAAACGGUAGCUAAUACCGCAUACCAUCAGAUGUGCCCAGAUGGGAUGAGCUAGUUUGUGGGGUAACGGCUCCCCAAGGCGACGAUCCCUAGCUGGUCUGAGAGGAUGACCAGCCAGACUGGAACGGAGACACGGUCGAGACUCCUACGGGAGGCAGCAGUGGGGAAUAUGGCACAAUGGGCGCAAGCCUGAUGCAGCGAUGUCGCGUGUAGGAAGAAGGCCGUCGGGUGGUAAAGUACUUUCAGCGGGGAGGCGUUACCCGCAGAAGAAGCACCGGCUAACUCCGGGCCAGCAGCCGCGGUAAUAC